GUGUUAUUGAGAGGAACUCGGUGCAUACCUACAAUGGGAGCUGACUUGGGACUUCAUGCUGUGCCCACACAAGUGUUGGGUAUAUGCACCUGAGCAUAGGUCCUGCGUGGAAGAUGUGGUGAAAGGAGUAGUGCAAAUGCAACUGAGAGGCUGCCAGGAGAGGUCUUUUGGUGGCAAUGUGCUCCAAUGGGCUGGAGCAGGAUUCUGAGAUCUGCGUGCUGCUCUGAGUUUGUCCCAGAGAGAAGAGAUGCUCUGUGGGGUCAGACCUGGACGGAUCAGUCUGGAGAAGAGGAGGCUCAGGGGAUACCUCAUUGCUCCCCUGCAACUCCCUAAAAGGACACUGGAGCAAGGUGGGGUCAGCCUCCGCUCCCAGUCUUAACAGGAUCUAGAGGAGGCAAAGUCGUUUCUGUCAGCAGAGACAUAAAGUGAACCAAGAUCUACUGAGCUAUAGUUACGGCAUCUGCUAUGGACCAUCAAUAGAAGACGUUAAAUAAGAUGGACCGUUAUUCCAACUAAGCCAGUGUUGCUCCCAUGAGCACUGAAGAAUGGAAUGAGAUUUACAAAUAAACUUUCAAACAGCCACUGGGAACCGGACUCCAAUUCUUUCCAGUAGCUGUUGUUUUGUUGUGCUGGAUGUGCUCCGCUGGUCAGAACAAAUACUGCCUGUUUGGUACCCUGAAAACCCUCUGCAGACCCUCUGGUCCCUGGGCUGACAAGUGAAGUGACAUAAUUAGCCAACACACAGAUUAGAUCCAUGCUCUGAUCUCUUUAAUGCAUACAGGGAAAAAAAGAAAAAAGAAAAAAGAAAAAAGAAAAAAAAAAGAAAGAAAAAAGGAAAUUUUAAAAAGCAAAUGAGCGUUUCUCACAAUUAAAAAGGAAGGGAGAAAGAUCAAUGCAAAACAAGACACGAAAAAUCAUUUCAUGCAACAAUCCAAUAACAGGAAUGUUCCCAACAACACACUGGUAGGGUUUUGGUCACAUUGAACCCGUCUUUCUCUCUUUAGACUGUUCCAUAGCCUCAGAGAAUUUAUUGGAAAGUAUUGUUUCCUGAAAUUCCUUUCUCGGUAUUCACUCUAAAUUAGCUCUUUUCUUAAUUGUCUCCCAUUAUUUUUUCCCUUUCUCUCAGUCCUGGUCCACUUCUUCACCGCUGCCAACUCUUGCAAUUGUACCGUAAGUCUUGCAAUAUUUAGUGUUUUACUGUAAUCCUCAGCAUCUGGAAGCAAGUGGUUGUGCAAGGAUUCCAGCUUUCAUUAAAGAAGACUUUAGCCUGAAAAUGUGACUGGAGUGCACUGUAAAGAGAAAAAUAAAAAGGGAAAGGGAAAAGAAAAAAAAGAAAAAGGGAAAAGAAAAGGGGAACGGGAAAGGUAAAGGGAAAGAAAAAAAGAAAAAGAAAAGAAAAGAAAAAAAAGGAAAAGGAAAAAAGAAAAGGAAAAGGCACUGCAUGGAAUAAGAAAUCAAACCUUGAACUUGAAAGUAGUGAUGCCAAUUAUAAACCUACCUAAUCAACCAAAAGUUGGUCUGGUUGUCUAAAGUGGUCAUCUGCUGCCCUGAAAUUUUAUCAGAAAGAUGUUGGCAUCUCCAUAGGGUGAUUCAACAAACUGCUUUUUUGGUAGGACUUCAGGAUGACAAAAAUCACUUCCCAGAGGGGUGGCCCUCUCUUUCUGGCUUUCUCAGGAGCCUCGACAGCAUCACAAAAGGCUUCACUUAUUUCUGAGUCUGUUCCAUAAGAUCUAUUUGCCCUGGUAUAGUGAGAAACAAGUCCAAGAUUUUAACAGUGCAUACUGCAUGUUCUGGGUUUACUUAACUAUACGUAAAUUUGUGUUAAACUCAGCACAACUGGGUCCUAGUCUAUAUGCAAGUUGCCUUCAGGAUAUCAUAAAUAAAAAUAAAGAAUGAAGACGUCAAGAAUAUGGGCAAAGUUCUCCCUUAUCUUGUAACAUCUAGCUUCUGGUCAACAUGAGAAGACAUUUUGUUGUUAAUUAGUAUACUGCGCUUUCCCAUAAAAGACAAUAGCCACAGAGAAAGGUCAACAACAAUGAUGACAACCCCAUAAAAUCCUGAGAGAAGAUGAGAUUGUGCUGUUCUGCUGGCAGGGAUUAGAGAGCAAGGGAAUUCUCUGGCAUUGACUUCAUGCCAAGUAGUUCAGGACCUUUUUAUCCACCUCAUUGGAUUAUCCACAGGAAGCCUUCUGACUCAUUAACUCCAUUCAGAAGGUCAAAUAGGAUUUUCAGCAACUUUAACCUCCCCUCAGCAAGUGGUUAUGGGCUGCAGAGAUCUCCCUGAUUUCUGUCACAGCGCAAUGAUCUCGGAAAAGAUAUCGUGGAAAACUUUGGCUUUGCUUUAUUUUAUGAGUGUUUAGCACAUAUAUAUUUUUUUUUCCACAAAAUAUGAGGAUACAGACUUGGGGAUUUGCAUCCCUGCUGGGGAUACUUUAGAACUGUAACAGCUUUCUUCCGUGGAGCUCUGGUAGGAAUUUAUGUAGCAUGAAGACCUUCAUGGGAACUGUAAAACAGGACUAAGAUAGGAUGGGUCACGUGAAGAGCAGCAGUACCUUGGUCUGCAUAGGUGUAACUCGUUUCAUUCACUGAAGGAAAAUUACUUUUUGGAAGCUCUUGAUCUACACCCAGAGGAACAUUGCAGUGUUCUUGUUGAAUGCUCCAGGGAUAAGAUAGUAGCAGACAACAAAAUGGAGACAGGCACCCAGAGAACCAUGAGAAUCAGCUGUGAAAUCAGCCGAGUGGUUUGGACGUGUCUUUGAUUGCUGAGUUUGGAGAGCCUUAAAACUUGGAAGAAACUGUAGCACAAUCCCUACAGGCAAUGGAGGGCACUGGGAAGGGAGCUGUCAAUACUCUGAGGGAGGCCGAAGUGUGGACCAGUGGUGGGACGUCAUUAACCCAACUGCCCUGCACUGACUGGUCACAGCAGCGUCCUGCUAUGUGAUAAAGAAUCAUAGAAUCAUGAGAUAUCCCAAGUUGGAAACGACCCACAAGGAUUGCUGAGCCCAACUCAUGGCUCACACAGGACCACCCAAAAUUCAAAACCUCUGUCCAAGAGAGUCAUCCAAACACUUCUUGUACUUGAGCAGCUUGGUGCUGUGGACACUUCCAUGGCAUUUUUGAACUGCUUGUCAACGGAGUGUUCAGAACACAUCUGGGCCAGGCUUUGGAUAAGGUUGCUAUGGAACAUGGCUGUGCAUUAAGGGUUUUCAUAGGAAUCCUGACCAUCCCCAACACGGACAGUCCCUAUGCCGUUCCCUGAUCCGUGGCCAGGAGAUGAUGGGGAGAUGCUGGCCCAAACCCAGGACAGGCAGCACAAAAACUGCAGGGAAUGGCUCACUGCUGGCCAUGACGUCAGCCAGCACCCCAGCCCUGUUUCUUUAUGAGCGUAGCUGUGGCCCAUGUGUGGGGGGAAUCUCUCCCCACUGCAUUUCUAAACAGAGCGUGAGUGUUUUGACUCUGUAACAUCUCAAGCAGCUGUGCUUUGUUAUUAAUUUCUGUGCUGUCUGGUUUGCAUUCGCACCUUGGGAAUCAGUGCCUUUUUGUUGGGUCGGAUCAGACCAGAGACCUCGAGCUCUGCUAUCACUUAAUCAGUUGUUUUGGUAUCAGGUUCCUGCUAACCUUGGAAAAAGACUUGGGCAUUGGGUAUGGAUUUUGUGAUUAUGUGUCUUCUGUCCUGUGGAAAUCACCUUCUCUACGCUAUAUUGCUGCUUAAAAAAUGCUACACACAGUGUAGGGAACCAAAGAUGUUCAUUAAGGAACUUGGGAGCUGUUUCCACUCUGCAUGCAGCUGGAAUUUAGUAGUGUUUAGUAGAGACUUCUACAUAGAAGUCCAUGCACUGAGUCCUCUUACCAAAGGGGGAAAACAUCUCCUGGACUCAUGGAUGUAUACAACUUCAAAGAUCUUUGUGUUAUGUAAUACAGAUACAACGAUAUAUCUGCCUUAGUAGAAGGCAGUGAUCACCCUGGUAUAGAAACACUGAUCCAUUCGUGGUGGUGUUUUAGAAGACAAGUGAGAGAUCAUGCUGAAAACACUAUGAAAGCAAUUUGGUUUCCAAAGUGAAUGCCUUCAAAGUCAGAGGCAGAAACAGCUUGGGUUCUGUGCAUCAAAAGGAAGGUUUUGCACGAAAAAAAAAAAAAAAAGAAAGAAAGAAAGAAAAAAGAAUCAUAUGAAAAAGAUCACAUGAAAAAAAUACAAGGAAGAAAGUAUUCUGCAACCUGGAAGGAAAGGACAGGAGGGGAAGCAAAGCAGGGCAGCUGGGCUAGGAAAAAUGAGGUGAGAAGUGAGAGUAGUUUGCUGCUUUUCUGCAGGGCAGGACCUCUCUCGUAGGGACUGCUGUUAGAACCUAGAUGGCUCUUUGCAAGAGGCUUCAGCUGUGCAUGAGUUAGGAAGAUAAAUGCAGGAGAACUGGGGUGAGAUUGAGCUGUUCUGUGAAUGAAUUUCUGCUUAAGUGACCAAAUCGAUCAUUCUGAAUUCCAACCCUUUCAGUCUGUACACGGCAGUAGGAGGGUGCAAAAUGCAGCGUUGCAGAGAUGCAUGAACCUCAAAAAUUAGCCAGAGCCCAAAGGAUUUACAUACACUCUUGUUACUUGGGGAAGAGAUACUGGCAGCAGGAAAAGGUGUGCUUAAUUGUGCUUAAUGACAGCCUAUUGACCAAAUCCUCCCUCCUCCUUUGCUGGGAUUUAUUUAUCUGUCCCUAGAAGACGAGGCUGUCCUGGUGCUCCUUGUAUGCCACCAACACGUGAAGGCUUCAGACAAUGCAGAGGUUGCAGAAGAAUCAUGGAUGAUAAUAUGCCUUAGAGUGCAGUUAUAAAAAUGAGGUGAAGAUGGGAGAACAGCCCAGCUGGGCAAGAGGAGCCAAGAAUGGUGGUAUAGGAAGGGUUGGUGCAAUGGUCUGAAUGUGCCUUGCGGCUGUAUGGGGGGCAUUGCAUGGUGGGCACUGCAUGGAAGCUGGCAUGAUCUACACCUGUGCCCUAAUUCAGCCUUUCUGCAGGAGUGC
ensembl:lncRNA